rnacentral:rRNA from 1 species
AUUGAACGCUGGCGGCAGGCCUAACACAUGCAAGUCGAACGAGUGGCGGACGGGUGAGUAAUGUCUGGGAAACUGCCUGAUGGAGGGGGCUAACUCCUGGAAACGGUAGCUACUACCGCAUACCAUCGGAUGUGCCCAGAUUGGAUUAGCGAGUAGGGGGGGUAAAGGCUCACCUAGGCGACGAGCCCUAGCUGGUCUGAGAGGAUGACCGGCAACACUGGAACUGAGUCACGGGCCAGACUCCUACGGGAGGCAGCAGUGGGGAAUAGUGCACAAUGGGCGCAAGCCUGAUGCAGCCAGGCCGCGUGUAUGAAGAAGGCCUUCGGGUUGUAAAGGACUUUCAGCGGGGAGGCGUUACCCGCAGAAGAAGCACCGGCUAACUCCGUGCCAGCAGCCGCGGUAAUAC